rnacentral:rRNA from 1 species
AUAAACCAGUUACAGCAAUUGAUGGAUGCCUUGGCUUCAUCAGGCGACGAAGGACGCAGCAAGCUGCGAUAAGCUUCGGGGAGCGGCACGCACGCUUUGAUCCGAAGAUCUCCGAAUGGGGAAACCCGGCACCGUUCAUACGGUGUCUCGCUGGUCUGAAUUCAUAGGACCAGUUUGAGCGAUACGCGGCGAAGUGAAACAUCUCAGUAACCGCAGGAAAAGAACGAGAAUCGAUUCCGUCAGUAGUGGCGAGCGAAAGCGGAACAGCCCAAACCAGCGGGAUUUAUCCUGCUGGGGUUGUAGGACCACGAUAUGAGACCAUGACGAUUAGACGAACACUCUGGAAAGUGUGACCAUAGCGGGUGACAGUCCCGUAGUUUAAAGUCCGAAUGGCUCUAGUGGUAUCCUGAGUAGCACCGUACACGUGAAAUCCGGUGUGAAUCUGUGCCGACCACGGCAUAAGGCUAAAUACUCGAUGAAGACCGACAGUGAACUAGUACCGCGAGGGAAAGGUGAAAAGCACCCCUGUUAGGGGAGUGAAAUAGUAACUGAAAUCAAUUGCUAACAAGUCAGUGGGAGCUCCCUUGUGGAGUGACCGCCUGCCUUUUGUAUAAUGAGUCUGCGAGUUAUUCCCCGUAGCAAGCUUAAGCCGGUCCCCGGCGAAAGCGCAGCGAAAGCGAGUCCAAAUAGGGCGCUCAGUUGCUGGGAAUAGACCCGAAGCGGAGGUGAUCUAACCAUGGCCAGGAUGAAACUCGGGUAAAACCGAGUGGAGGUCCGAACCGGUCAAUCUUGAGAAAUUGUCGGAUGAGCUGUGGUUAGGAGCGAAAGACUAAUCAAACCCUGUGAUAGCUGGUUCUUUCCGAAAUAUAUUUGGGUAUAGCGUCGGAUGCUGAUGAGUGGAGGUAGAGCACUAAAUAAGCUAGGGCCCCUACCGGGGUACUGAACUUAAUUAAACUCCGAAUACCACUCAGUGAAGUCCGGCAGUCAGACUGUGGGGGAUAACCUUCAUAGUCGAGAGGAGAAUAAUCCAUACCAUCAGUUAAGGUCCCAAAAUAUGGCUCAGUGAAAAAGGAUGUGAUUUUGCUUAGACAAUGGGGAUGUUGGCUUAGAGGCAGCCAUCAUUUAAACAGUGCGUAACAGCUGACCCAUCGAGCGAAAUUGCGCCGAAAAUGAUCGGGACUUAAGCCAUAUACCGAAGCUAUGGGUGCACCGCAAGGUGCGCAGUAGGAAAGCGUCCCAAGUGCAGCGAAGGGGAAGGGGUAACCGACUCUGGAGCGCUUGGGAGUGAGAAUGCAGACAUAAGUAACGAUAAAGCCGGUUGAAAUCCGGCUCGCCGAAAUCCCAAGGAUUCCUGGGGAAGGUUCGUCCUCCCAGGGUUAGUCGGGUGCUAAGACGAGGCCGUAAGGAGUAGUCGAUGCCAAGCAGGUUUAAUAUUCCUGCACCACUGUAUAUAGGUUCGACCUAAGGGGUGACGGAGAAAGUUAAUUCAGCGACGUGUUGAAUCGUCGUCCAAGCUCGUAGGCUGCUCGGGGAUAAAAGACCGGGUAAGGCCGAAAAGCGAUGGGACCCUGAGGCCACGGCCAAGGGGGAUUGAAUGAUACUCAGCUCCCAAGAAAAACCUCGUAGUUACUAUAUAGGGUGCCCGUACCGUAAACCGACACAGGUGGGAUAGAUGAGUAUUCUAAGGCGCGCAGGUUAAAUCUCUCUAAGGAACUCGGCAAAUUAACCCCGUAUCUUCGGUAGAAGGGGUGCCCCGCAAGGGGCCGCAGUUAAUUGCGUCAACCGACUGUUUAGCAAAAACACAGCACUCUGCUAAGUCGCAAGACGACGUAUAGGGUGUGACACGUGACCAAUGCGGAAAGGUGAAAGUCUUGGGUGCAAGCUCAGGAUCUAAGCCCCCGUGAAUGUCGGCCGUAACUAUAACGGUCCUAAGGUAGCGAAAUUCCUUGUCGGGUAAGUUCC